rnacentral:rRNA from 1 species
UGGGGAAUCUUGCACAAUGGGGGCAACCCUGAUGCAGCGACGCCGCGUGUGGGAGGAAGGCCUUCGGGUUGUAAACCACUGUCGGGUGGGACGAGCCGGGUGUCGUCCAAGAGGCGGCGCCUCCGACGGUACCACCCAUAGGAAGCUCCGGCUAACUCCGUGCCAGCAGCCGCGGUAAAACGGAGGGAGCAAGCGUUGUCCGGAAUUACUGGGCGUACAGAGCGCGUAGGCGGCCAGGUAAGUCGUAUGUGAAAGGCCCGGGCUCAACCCGGGCAUGCCAUGCGAUACUGCCUGGCUAGAGGCCGGCAGGGGCCAGUGGAAUUCCCGGUGUAGCGGUGGAAUGCGUAGAUAUCGGGAGGAACACCAGCGGCGAAGGCGACUGGCUGGGCCGGACCUGACGCUGCAGCGCGAAAGCGUGGGGAUCAAACA